rnacentral:rRNA from 1 species
GACGAACGCUGGCGGCGUGCUUAACACAUGCAGGUCGAACGGAAAGGCCCUGCUUUUGUGGGGUGCUCGAGUGGCGAACGGGUGAGUAACACGUGAGUAACCUGCCCUUGACUUUGGGAUAACUUCAGGAAACUGGGGCUAAUACCGGAUAGGAGCUCCUGCUGCAUGGUGGGGGUUGGAAAGUUUCGGCGGUUGAGGAUGGACUCGCGGCUUAUCAGCUUGUUGGUGGGGUAGUGGCUUACCAAGGCUUUGACGGGUAGCCGGCCUGAGAGGGUGACCGGCCACAUUGGGACUGAGAUACGGCCCAGACUCCUACGGGAGGCAGCAGUGGGGAAUAUUGCACAAUGGGCGGAAGCCUGAUGCAGCAACGCCGCGUGCGGGAUGACGGCCUUCGGGUUGUAAACCGCUUUCGCCUGUGACGAAGCGUGAGUGACGGUAAUGGGUAAAGAAGCACCGGCUAACUACGUG